rnacentral:lncRNA from 1 species
ACUAGCGGGAGGGGGCCGGGCUAGCGGGCUACUGGGCUGCGGAGACCAGAGCCCGGCUCCACUGAAGAAACCCGCCGGCUGCUGGGGCAGGGCGGCGAAAGGUCAGUCGGCCGAGAGGAGUCCGUGGAGCCACCGUUUCAUAGCCUCAGGGAAAGGAUCGGGCGUGCUCACGAGCCCUCUAACCCAUGGCUUAAACACCCGCUUCCUAAGCCUGGUUCCUGAAUAUAUCACAUGUGGUGAUAAACAUGAAGAUGUAUGAAAAAUUGUGUUCGUUGAGAGAAAAUGGAAGGCUUUUCAUUCUACUUCCACAUUUUCAUUCCAGCAGCUUUUCUGUUUUGGAAGAUGAGUACUGAAUCUUGCAAUGAAAUUUUUUUAACUUAAACAAGGUUCUUAUGCCUUUGUUUGAAAAACAUGGUUCCCUGUGAAAUUUUACAUGUAGAAGAAAGCUUCACACUACGAGAGCUCUCAGGAUAUAAUUAUUUCAGACAGAUACUGGGAACAUAAGAUGGCUUAUCAAUCUAAGAUGGCCUUCCUGUCCUUCGGAUUGAACUGAAACCAUCCCUGAUUCCAGGGAUAGGUAGAUGAUCCAGGUUUGGACAAUCAAAAUAUUGAACCACCCUGGACCUACAAGUGUUUCUGGGAUGGGAACAUGCAAACGUUGGUCCAAAUUGUUGUUCUAGGCAGCCCAGUACAUUUCUCCAAUGCCUGAUGGAAUGAUAGGGUAUGCAUAAAUGUUCAUGUGGGCUCUGGAGUAUACCAGGAACUGAAGUAAGGUACAUGGACGUCUUGAAUAUUGUAACUGAGAUGGGCAAGCCUACACCUUUGCAAAUAAAGGAGGAUUGGGAAAGAUUAAGAUCCUGUUAAACGUCAGUGUUACUAUUUAGCCUUUGAUAUCUCCAGUAAAGGCAACUUCUUUCUGGACCCAGAAAUAAAGCUUUACAUUAGCAGCUUCCAUAACACCAAUAACAUGAAUGACCAUCUACUGAGCAAUUGCAGUGCACCAGGAUUAUGGCUUAUGAGCACUUUAUGUUUAUUAUCUCACAACUCACUGAGUUAGAUACUCUCCACAACCCAGUGAGCCUCUCAAGCACUGUGAAAAAUCACUUUCUCUUGUUGUAUUCUUGGAGCCCCUGCUAAUUCAUUAUUGAAAAAUACCUGCUGCCUGCAUUUGGCCUUAUGUUGUCAUUUACUUGGUACUUCCUAAGCGUGGCUACUCCAAUGAAGCUUUAGUAUAUGUACUGAAAGAAGAUCCUCUCAUACUGCCACAGCCAAGAGAUAAGGUUGUAAAUCUUUAUUGGGAGAAGCCGUCAAGGACAGUUCUGUGAAAUGAAAGGAUCUCUGGAUCACCACAAAGUCUGGCUCAGUGACUAUGGCUUUGCAAACACUAAACAUUCCUGUCUCAAGUCCUGUAGAUGGCUUGAAAUAGUAUACAUAAGCAUGCCUUAUAAACAUCUUCAGUCUUUAUCAACUCUUUGGAGAUUCAGCCAUUCUUUUUUGUACUUUAGGGAAUUAAAUCAUUUUAUAAUGUAUAAAUCUGAGCAUGGCCGAUGGCAGAAGAAAUUUUGUCAUACGUUUUUAAAGAAAUAAAAAUGUAUUAUGUUUUAAAAUU